UUUGUGUUUGUAUAUUGGUAUGACGUUGGCGUCGUCGUCGUCGUCCGGCGUCGUCGUCGUCAUCCGAAGACACAUUAGUUUUCGCACUCUUACUUUAGUUUAAGUGAAUGGAUCUCAAUGAAAUUUUACCAUAAGGUUCAAUACCACAAAAGGAAGGUGGGGAUUGAUUUUGGGGGUUAUGGUACCAACAGUUAAGGAAUUAGGGGCCAAAAAUAAGCAUUUUUGUAACUUCCAGACAUAACUUGUGUGUAAGUGUAUGGAUCUCUCUGACAUUGUACCACAAGGUUCCAUAUCACAAAGGGAAUGCUGGGAUUGAUUUUGGGGGUAAUUGCCUCCAAAUUUUAGGAAUUAGGGGCCAAAAAGGGGCAAAAAACAAGCAUUUUUCUAGUUUCAUGACAAUAACUUGUGUGUAAGUGUAUGGAUCUCUCUGACAUUGUAUCACAAGGUUCCAUAACACAAAGGGAAUGCUGGGAUUGAUUUUGGGGGUAAUUGCCUCAAAAUUUUAGGAAUUAGGGGCCAAAAAGGGGCAAAAAACAAGCAUUUUUCUAGUUUCAUGACAAUAACUUGUGUGUAAGUGUAUGGAUCUUUUUGAAAUUGUACAACAAGGUUCCAUAUCACAAAGGGAAAGCUGGAAUUGAGUUUGGGAGUAAUUGCCGAAAAAGUUUAGGAAUAAGGGGCCAAAAAGGGGCCAAAAAUAAGUAUUUUUCUAGUUUCCAGACAAUAACUUGUGUUCAAGUGUUAUGGAUCUCUCUGAAAUUGUACUGCAAGGUACCAUACCACAAAGGGAAGGCUGGGAUUGAUUUUGGGGGUAAUUCCCUCAAAAUUUUAGUAAUUAGGGGCCAUAAAAGGGCAAAAAAGCAAGCAUUUUUCUAGUUUCAGGACAAUAACUUGUGUGUAAGUGUAUGGAUCUUUAUGAAAUUGUACUGCAAGGUUCCGUAUCACAAAGGGAAAGCUGGAAUUGAGUUUGGGGGUAAUUGCCCGAAACGUUUAGGAAUUGGGGGCCAAAAAGGGGCCAAAAAACACAUUUUUCUAGUUUCCAGACAAUAACUUGAGUUCAAGUGUAUGCAUCUCUCUGAAAUUGUACUGCAAGGUACCAUACCACAAAGGGAAGGCUGGGAUUGAGUUUGGGGGUGAUGAAUUAUAAGGGGGUUCAAACAAUUUGGGUGGGGGGGGGGACUUUUUUUUUUUUCCUUUUUUUUUCUUUUUUUUCUUUUUUUUUUCUUUUAAAAUUUUCCAUUUUAAGUUGGUUAUUUCUGAUUUUUAUUUAAAAGCAAAUAAUAAUGAUAUGGUAGGAGAUACACACCAAACAGGAUGUGUAAAUUAUUAUAUAAUAAGCAUUGUGCAAUAGCAAGAAAUUUUCAAUUGCACAGUAUUGCACAAUAGCAAGAAAUCUUCAAUUGCACAGUAUUGCGCAAUAGCAAGAAAUCUUCAAUUGCACAGUAUUGCGCAAUAGCAAGAAAUAUCCAAUAGCACAAUAUUGCGCAAUAGCAAGAAAUUGUCAAUUGUGCAGUAUUGCGCAAUAGCAAGAAAUAUUCAAUUGCACAGUAUUGUGCAAAAGAAGAUACUUCGUAUAAAUUGCUUAUUUCUUGACCAAUUUCAAUGGGGUUUUAUUCUUGAAUUCUUGGGGUUCUUUAUUAGCUGAAUCUAACCGUGUAUUAAGUUUUUGGAUUUUGGGCCCCGUUUUUAAAUUGGUCCACAUUGAGGUCAAAAGGGCC